AUACGGAGGAUCCGAGCGUUAUCCGGAUUUAUUGGGUUUAAAGGGUGCGCAGGCGGCCAUUUAAGUCAGCGGUUAAAUCGUGGGGCUCAACCCCAUUCUGCCGUUGAUACUGGGUGGCUUGAUUGCGGUCGAGGUUGGCGGAAUUCGUUGUGUAGCGGUGAAAUGCAUAGAUAUGAUGAAGAACACCGAUUGCGUAGGCAGCUGACCAGAACGUAAAUGUCGCUGAGGCACGAAAGUGCGGGGAUCGAACAGGAUUAGAUACCCUGUUAGUCCGCACAGUAAACGAUGAAUACUUGUUUUCGGCGAUAUAAUGUCGGAGGCAAAGCGAAAGCGAUAAGUAUUCCACCUGGGGAGUACGCCGGCAACGGUGAAACUCAAAUGAAUUGACGGGG
rnacentral:rRNA from 1 species